GCUGCAGAAAUCAAGGCACAAUCAAUUACCAAUGGAGCAAUAUAACGAAGAGUUAGCUAUGAAAUUCCAAAGCUAUGAUAUUGAAAUGAGGUUAAUUGUAUUCUUUAUAUAGGCUUACUGAGGUCAGCUUUUCUUCUCUUUCGCGAGGAUGAAUCGUUUUCUUCA